GGGGCCUUAGCUCAGUUGGGAGAGCGCCUGCCUUUGCACGCAGGAGGUCAGCGGUUCGAUCCCGCCAGGCUCCACCA
rnacentral:tRNA from 1 species